GAACCAUGUUCUGGCGAUGCUAGAACCGUGUUCCAGAGAUGUUGGAACCAUGUUCUAGCAAUGUUGGAACCGUGUUUUAGCAAUGCUGGAAUGGGGGUCGGUGAUGCUUAAAAGCUUUAGGACAGCGGGCAAAAUGCUGGAACCAUUACCGACAAAAGUUGCAAUAGUCGUCAGAUUUUGCUACCACCGGCAAAGGAUUCUGCUACAUGCUUCAUGGCAGAGCUGCAACCCUGCGACGGCGAUGACUUUUUUUCCACAGUCGUAGUUAUUUUUCGCUACCACUGGUGAUGUAUUUUGCCACAUCCAUUAAAUGUCGUUUAGUAUUGGCCGUCCAUAAUCCCGUGCAACUAGUGCCGACGCCGAGUGCGACCGCGGUUGUGCAUCGUGGUGUUGCAUAAUGAUGCAUCAACGGCUGGAGUUGCAGCCAGUUAGGGCGGAGUUGCAAGCGAAAUUGAUGAGCGGGGAAGUUCUUCGACAAGCAGCGGAGGGCUGCGAGUCGUCGGAGUGUGAGCGCCGACGACCGACGUCUGUUUGCCCUCGCGGAGCUGCACACGGAGGCGUAGGAGCGUGGGGUAGGGUGUGGGGAUUUUUUUCUUUGAUAUGCGAUGGGAGAUAGAGGACGAGUCAAGGAUGAAGGAGAGAGCUAGAUCGGAUGACUGAUCUAUGCCAGAUCGAACGGUUGGGGUUCGAGUGGCCGAAACUUUCAGCUAGUACUGCCCUUUCUCUAUCUAUUCUAACACACCAUGAAGCUUGGUGGAGAGUUCAUCCACUACCUCUAUAAAAGCACGAAGAGGCAGAUCCAACUCACCAUCUCACCUGCCUGAUUACGUCAUCAAUCGUCAAGAAUUAUCAUUAAAAAAUUCAUCCCAGCUAACGAAACCAAUUGAAGCCAAUCCCAUCGGCGAGGAAACCCACCCACACUUCCACGCCCGGGAACCGCUCACAAAAUCACCUCGCUUGAGAACUCAUCCAGGCCUAGCUCNNNNNNNNNNNNNNNNNNNNNNNNNNNNNNNNNNNNNNNNNNNNNNNNNNNNNNNNNNAGCCGCCGUCGCUGCCUCGCGCAACAACCACAACCAUUGCCCUCGCCUCACAUAGCGACGCGUCGCCCGUCGCUCGGCCAACCCGGACAAGCAGGACAAGGGCGCAGGGCAAGGAAAGGACAUGGGCGAUCGCAAUGAACCCUCCUUUCAUGGUAUUUAUCAUUUUUAUGCGAUGAACGCAACCUGUAGGUGCCUCCGUUCAUGAUUUGCAUAUCCAGAAUUUGUUGUCUGGCCAUCUAAGAGAAUUAGCUCACUACGCUAAGGAAUUAGGACAAUUCAGUUACAUGAUCUGACUGUUUAUAGAGGGAUCUAAAAGACUGAUGAUAUGCAAAUAUGAUCUCAAGUCUCAAAGUGCAUGUUGUUCUAUGUUCUUGGGCAUGUACAAAGGCUUAGAUAAACACCACCAAGGUUGAGGACGAAAAAGAUUGCACACACUAACCAUUAUUAUCUUCUUGUGAUAAUUUUAGGCUUGUACGAGGAAACUUGAAGAGGCAAUUUUAGUUGGUGGUGUGCUUUAAUAUUUCAUAUUGUUGUUCGUGUGUUCCUGUUGGAAAUAUGCCCUAGAGGCAAUAAUAAAGUGGUUAUUAUUAUAUUUCCUUGUUCAUGAUAAUUUUCUAUUGUUCAUGCUACAAUUGUAUUAACUGGAAACAGUAAUACAUGUGUGAAUAUAUAGACCACACCAAGUCCCUAGUGAGCCUCUAGUUGACUAGCUCGUUGAUCAAAGAUGGUUAAUGUUUCCUAACCAUAGACAAGUGUUCUCACUUGAGUUCUAGAAUGGUCUGGAAACGAAGAUUGAUAUAUAGGAAGUUGGUAGUUCGUAGUAUCAUUUCCCUAGACCAUGAGAUUGUGCAACUCCCGGAUACCGUAGGAGUGCUUUGGGUGUAUCAAGAAUCACAACGUAACUGGGUGAUUAUAAUGGUGCACUACAGGUAUCUCUGGAAGUGUAUGUUGGGUGGGCACGAAUCGAGAUUGGGAUUUGUCACUCCGUAUGAAGGAGAGGUAUCUCUGGGCCCACUGAGUAAUACAUCAUCCUAUUGAGCUCAGUGUGACUAAGGAGUUAGUCACAGGAUCAUGUGUUACGGAACGAGUAAAAAAACUUGCCUCUAACGAUAUUGAACAAGGUAUGGGGAUACCGACGAUCGGAUUUCGGGCAAGUUAUAUACCGAUAGACAAAGGGAAUUGCAUACGGGAUUGAUUGAAUCCCCGACAUCGUGGUUCAUCCGAUGAGAUCAUCGUGGAACAUGUGGGAGCCAACAUGGAUAUCCAGAUCCCGCUAUUGGUUAUUGACCGGGGAGGUGUCUCGGUCAUGUCUGCAUGGUUCCCGAACUCGUAGGGUCUACACACUUAAGGUUCGAUGACGCUAGAGUUGUAAUGAGAAUAAUAUGUGGUUAUCAAAAGUUGUUCGGAGCCCCGGAUGAGAUCCCAGACGUCCCGAGGAGCUCCGGAAUGGUCAGUAGGUAAAGAUUCAUAUAUAGGAAGUGGAGAUUAGAUCACAGGAAAUGUUUCGAGGAUCAUCGGUAUUGUACCGGGACUACCGGAAGGGUUACGGGGGUUCACCAGCCCCGGAGAGCCACGUGGGCCAAAAGUGGAAGGAAACCAACCCCUAGAUGGGCUGGUGCGUCACCCACCAAGGCCCAAGGAACCUAGGGCUAGCAACCCUAGGGCGUGGAGGUGGCCCACCUCCAACUUGGGAGGCAAGCCACCUCCCACCUGGCCACCGCCCCCUGCUUGGACCGCCGCCCCUCCUAGGGUUACCUAGGGUGGCCGGCCUGCCUUUCCCCUCCCCUAUAUAUACCCAAGGGUUUUGGGGCUGCAACACACAACUUUUCUCUCCCUCUUGGUGCAACCCUACCCUCUCUCUUUCUCCUCCUCCGCGGUGCUUGGCGAAGCCGUGCCGGAGAACCACAUAGCUACACCGCCACCACGCCGACGUGCUGUCGAAGCUCUCCAUCAACUUCCCCUCUCCCCUUGCUGGUUCAAGGUAGAGGAGACAUCAUCGGUUUGCACGUGUGUUGAACGCGGAGGCGUCGUUGUUCGGCGCUUUGGAUCACAUCUACCGCGAUUUGAAUCGCUAUGAGUACGACUCCAUCACCCGCAUUCCUAGUAACGCUUCCGCUUAGCAAUCUUCAAAGGUAUGAAGAUGCUCUACCCCUUGCUCGUUGCUAGCAUCUCCUAGAUUGAUCUUGCUGUUUCGUUGCUAGCAUCUCCUAGAUUGAUCUUGCCGCGCCCGAAGAUGGAGAUCAAAGGCGCAAGAUGAUAAUGGCCAUAUCAUGUCACUAUAUGAUUUGCAUGUGAUGUUUAUCAUGUUGUUCAUCUUAUUGCUUAGAAUGACGGUAGCAAAGAUAAGAUGAUCCCUCGUUAAAUUUCAAGAUAAGUAUUCCCCUAAGUGUGCACCGUUGUGAAGGAUCGUUGUCUUGAAGCACCAUGUGAUGGUCGGGUGUGAUAGAUUCUAACGUUCGCAUACAAUGGGUGUAAGCCAGAUUUACACACACAAAACACUUAGGUUGACUUGACGAGCCUAGCAUGUACAGGAAUGGCCUCAGAAUACGAGAGACCAAAAGGUCGAACAUGAGUCGUAUGGAUGAUACGAUCAACAUGGAGAUGUUCACCAUUGAUGACUAGUCUGUCUCACGUGAUGAUCGGACACGGGCUAGUCGACAUGGAUCAUGUAUCACUUAGAUGACUAGAGGGAUGUCAAUCUAAGUGCGAGUUCAUUAAAUAAUUUGAUUAGAUGAACUUAAUUAUCAUGAACUUAGUCUAACAAUGUCUUUACAGUAUUGUAGAUCCAAUGGCCAAUGCUCCUGUCAACCUCAAUUUCAACACGUUCCUAGAGAAAACCAAGCUGAAAGACGAUGGUAGAAACUAUGUGGACUGAGCUCGUAACUUAAAGCUCAUCCUCAUUGCUUCCAAGAAGGCAUAUGUCCUUGAUGCGUCGCUAGGUGACCCUCCCGUUCCCACGGCAGCCCAGGACGUUCAUAACGCGUGGCAGUCACGAAGUGAUGACUACUCUCUGGUUCAUUGUGGCAUGCUAUACAGUUUAGAACCGGGGCUCAAAAAACGUUUUGAGCAACCUGGAGCAUAUGACAUGUUCGAGGAGCUGAAAUUGGUUUUCCAAGAUCAUGCCCAGAUCAAGAGAUAUGAGGUCUCCGACUAGUUCCUCAGCUGUAAGAUGGAGGAAAAUAGUUCUGUCAGUGAGCACAUACCCAGAAUGUGUGGGUUGCACAACCGUCUGUCUCAGCUGGAAGUUAAUCUUCCGGAUGACGCGGUUAUUGACAGAAUCCUCCAGUCGCUUCCACAUAGCUACAAGAGGUUCGUGAUGAAUUAUAACAUGCAAGGGAUGGAAAAGAACAUUCCCGAGUUAUAUUCAAUGCUGAGAUCAGCGGAGGUGGAAAUCAAGAAGGAACAUCAAGUGUUGAUGGUGAAUAAGACCACUAGUUUAAUAAAAGGCAAGGGUAAAAAGAACUUCAAGAAGGACGGCAAAGAAGUUGCCACGCCCGGUAAAAAGGUUUCCUGGAAGAAGCGCAAGAAUGUCGCAAGCCUGAGACUGAGUGUUGUCAUUGCAAGGGAGCCAGUCACUGGAAGCGAAACUACCCCAAAUACUUAGCGGAUAAGAAGGCCGGAAAUGUCAAAGGUAUAUAUGAUGUACAUGUUAUUGAUGUGUACCUUACCAGCACUCGUAGUAGCUCCUAGGUAUUUGAUACCGGUGUUGUUGCUCACAUUUGCAACUGAAAAACAGGAACUGCAGAAUAAGCAGAGACUGGCAAAGGGCAAUGUGACGAUGCUCGUGGGAAUGGUUCCAAGGUCGAUGUGAUCGUCGUCGGCACGCUACCUCUACAUCUACCUUCGGGAUUAGUUUUAAACCUUAAUAAUUGUUAUUUAGUACUAGCUUUGAGCAUGAACAUUGUAUCUGAAUCUCGUUUGAUGCGAGAUGGCUACUCAUUUAAAUCUUAGAAUAAUGGUUGUUCUAUUUAUAUGAGUGAUAUGUUUUAUGGUCAUGUCCAUCUGGUCAAAGUUUAUUCUUAAUGAAUCUCGAACGUGAUGUUAUGCAUAUUCAUAGUGUGAGUACUAAAAGAUGCAAAAUUAAUAAUGAUAGUCCCACAUACUUGUGGCAUUGCCUCCCUGGUCAUAUCGGCGUCAAACGCAUGAAGAAACUCCAUGCUGACGGACUUUUGGAGUCUCUUGAUAAUGAAUCAUUUGACACGUGCAAGCUGUGCCUCAUGGGUAAGAUGACUAAGACUCUGUUCUCCGGAACAAUGGAGCGAGCAACCAACUUGUUGGAAAUAAUACAUAGCGAUGUAUGCGAUCCAAUGAGCGUUGAGGCUUGCGGUGGCUACCGUUAUGUUCUCACCCUCACUAAUGACUUAAGCAGAUAUGGGUAUGUCUACGUAAUGAAACACAAGUCUGAAACCUUUGAAAGGUUCAAGGAAUUUCAGAGUGAGGUUGAAAAUCAACGUGACAAGAAAAUAAAGUGCCUACGAUCUGAUCAUGGAGGAGAAUAUUUGAGUCACGAGUUUGGCACACACUUAAGAAAAUGUGGAAUUGUUUCACAACUCAUGCUGCCUGGCACACCUCAGUGUAAUGGUGUGUCUGAGCGUCGUAAUCGCACUCUAUUGGAUAUGGUGUAAUCUAUGAUGUCUAUUACUGAUUUAUCGCUAUCAUUUUGGGGAUACGCAUUGGAAACUUCCGCAUUCACUUUAAAUAGGGCACCGUCUAAAUCCGUUGAGAUGACACUGUAUGAAUUAUGCUUUGGGAAGAAACCUAAGCUGUCGUUUCUGAAAGUUUGGGGCUAUGAUGCUUAUGUGAAGAAACUUCAACGUGAGAAGCUCAAACCCAAAGCGAAAAAUGCGUCUUCAUAGGAUACCCUAAGGAAACUAUUGCGUAUACCUUCUAUCUUAGAUUCGAAGGAAAAUCUUUGUUGCCAAGAACGGAUCCUUUCUAGAGAAAGAGUUUCUCUCAAAAGAAGUAAGUGGGAGGAAAAUAGAACUUGAUGAGGUAACUGAAAUCCCUCUUGAACUAGAAAGUAGCGCAGCGUGGGAAAUUGUUCCCGUGGUGCCUGCACCGACUAGAGAGGAAGUUAAUGACGAUGAUCAUGAAACUUCGGAUCAAGUUACUACUGAACCUCUAAGGUCCACAAGGAUAUGUUCCGCACCAGAGUGGUUCGACAACCCAGUCCUAGAAAUAAUGUUGUUAGACAACGGUGAACCUUCGAACUAUGAAGAAGCAAUGGUCGGCCCGGAUUCCAACAAAUGGCUUGAAGCCAUGAAAUUCGAGAUAGGAUCCAUGUAUGAGAACAAAGUAUGGACUUUUGUGGACUUGCCCAAUGAUCAGCAAUCCACAGAAAAUAAAUGGGUCUUUAAGAAGAAUACUGACGCAGAUGGUAAUGUGACCGUCUAUAAGGCUGAGCUUGUCGCUAAGGGUUACCGACAAGUUCAAGGAGUUGACUACGAUGAGACUUUCUCACCCAUAGCGAUGUUGAAGUUCGUCCGAAUCAUGUUAGCAAUUGCCGCAUUUUAUGAUUAUGAGAUCUAGCAAAUGGACGUCAAAACGACAUUCCUUAACAGUUUCCUUAAGGAAGAAUUGUAUAUGAUGCAUCCAGAAGGUUUUGUCGAUCCUAAGAGUGCUGACAAGGUAUGCGAGCUCCAACGCUCCAUCUAUGGGCUGGUGCAAGCAUCUCAAAGUUGGAACAUUCACUUUAAUGAGGUGAUUAAAUCGUUCGGGUUUAUGCAGACUUAUUGAAAAGCCUGCAUUUACAAGAAAGUGAGUGGGAGCUCUGUAGCAUUCCUCAUUUUAUAUGUGGACGACAUAUUGCCGAUGGAAAAUGAUAUAGAACUUUUGGAAAGCGUAAAAGCCUACUUGAAUAAGUAUUUUUCAAUGAAGGACCUUGGGGAAGCUGCUUACAUAUUAGGCAUCAAGAUCUAUAUAGAUAGAUCGAGAUGCCUCAUAGGUCUUUCACAAAACACAUACCUUGACAAGAUAUUGAAGAAGUUCAAUAUGGAUAAGUCUAAGAAGGUGUUAUUGCAUGUAUAGCAAGGUAUGAGAUUGAGUAAGACUCAAUGCCCGACCAAAGCACAAGAUAGAGAAAAGAUGAGUAACAUCCCCUAUGCUUCAGUCGUAGGCUCUAUUAUGUAUGCCAUAGUGUGUACCAGACCUGAUGUGAACCUUGCCAUGAGUUUGGUAGGGAGGUACCAAAGUGAUCCUGGUAUGGAACGCUGGACAACGGUCAAUAAUAUCCUAAAGUACCUGAAAAGGACUAAAGAUAUGUUUCUCGUUUAUGGAGGUGCCGAAGAGCUCGUCGUAAAGGGUUACGCCGAUGAUAGCUUCGACAGAGAUCCGGAUGACUCCAAGUCACAAAUCGGAUACGUGUAUGUUUUGAAUGGUGGGGUAGUCAGCUGGUGCACUUUUAAGCAAGGCGUCGUGGCGGCAUCUACAUGUGAAGCAGAGUACAUAGCUGCUGCAGAAGCAGCGCAUGAAGGGAUCUGGAUGAAGGACUUCAUCACUGACCUAGGAGUAAUUCCCAGUGCGUCGGGCCCGAUGACUCUCUUGUGUGAUAACACUGGAGCUAUUGUCAUAGCCAAGGAGCCCAAGCACAUCAAGCGCUGCUUCAACUCCAUCCGUGAUUACAUUCAGGAAGGAGAUAUAGAUAUUUGUAAAGUACAUGCAGAUCUGAAUGUUGUAGAUCUUUUGAGUAAACCUCUUCCGCGAGCGAAACAUGAUCAACACCAGAACUCUACGGGUGUUCGUUUCAUCACAAUGUAACUAGAUUAUUGACUCCAGUGCAAGUGGGGGACUGUUGGAAAUAUGCCCUAGAGGCAAUAAUAAAGUGGUUAUUAUUAUAUUUCCUUGUUCAUAAUAAUUGUCUAUUGUUCAUGCUACAAUUGUAUUAAGAGGAAACAGUAAUACAUGUGUGAAUAUAUAGACCACACCAAGUCCCUAGUGAGCCUCUAGUUGACUAGAUGGUGGAUCAAUAGAUGGUCAUGGUUUCCUGCUCAUGGACAUUGGAUGUCAUUGAUAAUGGGAUCACAUCAUUAGGAGAAUGAUGUGAUGGACAAGACACAAUCCUAAGCAUAGCACAAGAUCGUGUAGUUUGUCUCCUAAAGCUUUUCUAAUGUCAAUUAUCAUUUCCUUAGACCAUGAGAUUGUGCAACUCCCAGAUACCGUAGGAGUGCUUUGGGUGUAUCAAAAGUCACAACGUAACUGGGUGAUUAUAAAGGUGCACUACAGGUAUCUCCGAAAGUGUCUGUUGGGUGGGCACGAAUCGAGACUGGGAUUUGUGACUCCGUAUGACGGAGAGGUAUCUCUGGGAUCACUCGGUAAUACACCAUCCUGUUGAGCUCAAUGUGACUAAGGAGUUAGUCACACGAUCAUGUGUUACAGAACGAGUAAAAGACUUGCGAGUAACGAUAUUGAACAAGGUAUGAGGAUACCGACGAUAGGGUCUCGGGCAAGUUAUAUACCGAUAGACAAAGGGAAUUGCAUACGGGAUUGAUUGAAUCCCCGACAUCGUGGUUCAUCCGAUGAGAUCAUCGUGGAACAUGUGGGAGACAAUAUGGAUAUCCAGAUCCCCCUGUUGGUUAUUAACCGGAGAGGUGUCUCGGUCAUGUCUGCAUGGUUCCCGAACCCGUAGGGUCUACACACUUAAGGUUCGAUGACGCUAGAAUUGUAAUGAGAAUAGUAUGUGGUUACCGAAAGUUGUUCAGAGUCCCGGGUGAGAUCCCGGAUGUCACGAGGAGCUCCGGAAUGGUCCGGAGGUAAAGAUUCAUAUAUAGGAAGUGGAUAUUAGAUCACCGGAAAUGUUUCAAGGAUCAUCUGUAUUGUACUGGGACCACCAUAAGGGUUUCGAGGGUCCACCGGGAGGGGCCACCAGCCCCGGAGAGCCACGUAGGCCAAAAGUGGAAGGGAACCAGCCGCUAGAUGGGUUGGUGCGCCACCCACCAAGGCCCAAGGCGCCUAGGGCUGGUUACCCUAGGGCGUGGAGGUGGCCCACCUCCAACUUGGGAGGCAAGCCACCUCCCACCUGGCAACCGUCCCCUGCUUGGGCCACCGCCCCUCCCAUAUGGGUGGCCGCCGCCCCUCCUAGGGUUUCCUAGGGUGGCCGGCCUGCCCUUCCCCUCCUCCUAUAUAUAUCCAAUGGUUUUGGGGCUGCAACAUGCAAGUUUUCACUCCCUCUCGGCGCAGCCCUACCCUCUCUCUCCAUCCUCCUCCGCGGUGCUUGGCGAAGCCCUGUCGGAGAACCACAUAGCUCCACCGCCACCACACCGUCGUGCUGCCGGAGCUCUCCACCAACUUCCCCUCUCCGCUUUCUGGUUCAAGGUAGACGAGACGUCACCGGGAUGCACGUGUGUUGAACAUGGAGGCACCGUUUGUCGGCCCUUUGGAUCACAUCUACUGCGAUCUGAAUCGCUACGAGUACGACUCCAUCACCCGCGUUCAUAGUAACGCUUCCGCUUAGCAAUCUUCAAAAGUAUGAAGAUCAUCUACCCCUUGCUCGUUGCUAGCAUUUCCUAGAUUGAUCUUGGUGUUUCGUAGGAAUUUUUUUGAAUUUCUCCCUCGAGCCCCAACAGUUCCUCCAUCAUCGUGUCUUCUUCUAUUAGUUUGAAUUUUCUAGCGCAUGAACUACCAAGUGAAUUUUCCUAGCUCCGAUGGUUGCGCCACUGAGGAUGCUAUCAGCGAAAAUAAAGGCAAUUUGUACUGGGACGUCUUGGCCGAGCUGCAGGACCUCCGCCUCGACGAGCUGUAGAAUCUCCACCUCGCUCUGGUUUUUGUGGUACGGGCCCUUCCCCACUCCAUCAAAUAGUGACUUAUAUUUUGUUCUGCUUUGUUCUUAGACAAGUGUGGUAAAUUGUAUGGUAAAGUGUGGCAUCUACUACCCCUAUAAAGCACGAAGAGACAGAUCCAAAUCCUCAACUCAGCCAUUUGAUUACAUCAUCAAUGAUCAAAAAUCAUUGUUAACGAAAUUCAUCCCAUCGCUAACGAAGAUAAUCCCAUCGCUGAGGAAACCCACCCCCACUUCAAUGCUCAAGAACCGCUCGCAAACUCAGCCACGCCGCCCGACCUCCCCACCCCCGAUGGUCGCUCGCCUCGUCCAGCCACCGGCCCCGCUCGGCCCACUUGCCCCCACUCGUCGCUCGCCUCGCGCCGUCGCCCUUGUCUCACACAGCCUCGUGCAGUCGCCGCCCCCGCCUCGUGCAGCCACCGCCACCACCUUGCGCAGCCUCACGCCGUCCUCUCUGCUCACCCGGACAAGCGGGACAAGGGCACCGUUCAAGGAGAGGACAGGGGCGAUCGCGGUGAACCCUCCGUUCAUGGUACUGUAACGUCCAAGAUGUGGCACUAUCCAUAUUUGGGGAUUAGGUCUUAAUAUGGAUAGAGGCACAUCUUAGCGUUUCGCAAGUACAUAAAUCACCGCAAUACAUUUAUGAAGAGAAGAGUAUAUUGAUUAGCUUACACUCGCCACAAGUUAAGUUACAAGCCACACAACAUUAGUUCAAUCAUCCUAAGACCGGGUCCGGCUACAGACAAGAUAAAUGAUAAAAUGCAAUGACUCUGCCUCGUUAGUCUAGGAAACGAGCAAGGUCCUCUAAUCAUCGGGGUACAUUACGUACAAGCGCCCACUGCCUUCAUCGAAAUCCCAUUGAAGAUCGAUAACCCACAAGUAUAGGGGAUCGCAACAGUUUUCGAGGGUAGAGUAUUCAACCCAAAUUUAUUGAUUCAACUCAAGGGGAAGCGAAAGAAUAUUCUCAAGUAUUAGCAGUUGAGCUGUCAAUUCAACGACACCUAAAAGAUUUAGUAUCAGUAGCAAAGUAGGGUGAUAGCAGCAGUAGCAACAGUAACCAGUAGCAGCAAAGUAACAACAGUAGGAACAGAGUAACAACAGCAGCAGUCACAGCAGUAGCGGCAAAGUAACGUAGCAAGGACCAGUAGAAAAAGACUCGUAGGCAUUGGAUCAGUGAUGGAUGAUUAUGCCGGAUGUGAUUGAUCAUGCAACAGUUAUAACACGGAGAGAUAAGUAAAUAGCUCCAGUUCGUCAAUCUAAUGUAGGCAUGUAUUCCGCAUGUAGUCAUACGUGCUUAGGGAAAAUAACUUGCAUGACAUCUAUUGUCCAUCCCUCCCAUGGCAGCGGGGUCCUAAUGGAAACUACAGGAUAUUAAGGUUCUCCUUUGAAUAAAGAACCGGACCAAUGCAUUAACACUUGGUGAAUACAUGAACUCCUCAUACUAUGGUCAUCUCCGGGAGUGGUUCCGGCUAUUGUCACUCCGGGGUUGCAGGGUCAUAACACAUAGUAGGUGACUACAACUUGCAAGAUAGGAUCUAAAACACACAUAUAUUGGCGACAACAUAAUAGGUUCAGAUCUGAAAUCAUGGCACUCGAGCCCUAGUGACAAGCAUUAAGCAUGGCAAAGUAGUAGCAACAUCAAUCUCAGAACAUAGUGGAUACUAGGGAUCAAUUCCCGUCAAAACUAACUCGAUUACAUGAUAGAUCUCAUCCAACCCAUCACCGUCUAGAAAGCCUACGAAUAGAUUACUCACGAACGGUGAAGAGCAUCAUGGAAUUGGCGAUGAAGGAAGGUUGGUGAUGACGAUGGCGUCAAAGUUUGUUUUCUUGUGCUAAUGAUAUCACGAGUUUCUGUUUAAGUUUUGUGUUGUGAAGUUUUCAAGUUUUGGGUGAUGAUCUCAUGGACAAAGGGAUAAAGAGUGGAAAGAGCUCAAGCUUGGGGAUGCCCAAGGCAUCCCAAGCCAAAUUCAAGGACACCAAAAAGCCUAAGCUGGGGGAUGCCCCGGGAAGACAUCCCCUCUUUCGUCUCCAAUCCAUCGGUAAUAUUACUUGGAGCUAUAUUUUUAUUCACCACAUGAUAUGUGUUUUGCUUGGAGCGUCUUGUAUCAUAGGAGUCCUUUAUUUUUGUUGUGUCACAAUCAUCCUUGCUGCACACCUUUUGAGAGAGACAUGCACUCAUCGUGAAUUUUCUAGAAUACUCAUUGAGCUUCGCUUAUAUCUUUUGAGUUAGGCAAUUUAGCUCAUUGUGCUUCACUUAUAUCUUUUGAUCUAGAUAACUUUUCUCUUUGUGCUUCACUUAGAUCUUUUAGAGCACGGCGGUGUCAUAUUUUGGAGAAAUAAGAACUCUCGAUCUUCACUUAUAUCUUUUUGAGAGUGCUCUCUCUGAGUAACUUGGUAGUUGGCUUGUGUUAUGAAAGUAGUCCGAAAGAUGAUAGGCGCCCAAAGAGGAUACAAUAAAACUUCCAUAUUCAUGUGCAUUGAUUAGAAAGAGAAGUUUGAUUCCUCUCAAAUAGUUUUGAGACAUGGAUUUGGUAAUAUUAAGAGUUAUGCUAGUAGGGUGUUGUGAAUCUAGAAAUACUUGUGUUGAAGUUAGUGAUUCCCGUAACAUGCACGUAUGGUGGACCGCUAUGUUAGGAAGUCGGAGCAUAUUUGAUUUAUUGAUUGUCAUCCUUUGUGUUGCGGUCGGGAUUGCGCGAUGGUUAACACCUACCAACCCUUCCCCUAGGAGUAUGCGUUUAGCACUUUGUUUCGAUUACUAAUAAAAACUUUCGCAAUAAGUAUGUGAGUUCUUCAUGACUAAUGUGAGUCCAUGGUAUAGAUACACUUUCACCUUCCACCAUUGCUAGCCUCUCUAGUGCCGUGCAACUUUCGUCGGUACACAAAACCACAAUAUGCCUUCCUCAAAACAACCACCAUACCUACCUACUAUGGCAUUUUCAUAGCCAUUCCGAGAUAUAUUGCCAUGCAACUCCCACCGUUCGGUCUCAUGACUUGUGUCGUNNNNNNNNNNNNNNNNNNNNNNNNNNNNNNNNNNNNNNNNNNNNNNNNNNNNNNNNNNNNNNNNNNNNNNNNNNNNNNNNNNNNNNNNNNNNNNNNNNNNGUGAUCUCAUCCGGGACUCCGAACAACAUUCGGUAACCAACCAUAUAACUCAAAUACGCAUAAAACAACGUCGAACCUUAAGUGUGCAGACCCUGCGGGUUCGAGAACUAUGUAGACAUGACCCGAGUGACUCCUCGGUCAAUAUCCAAUAGCGGGACCUGGAUGCCCAUAUUGGAUCCUACAUAUUCUACGAAGAUCUUAUCGUUUGAACUUCAGUGCCAAGGAUUCAUAUAAUCCCGUAUGUCAUUCCCUUUGUCCUUCGGUAUGUUACUUGCCCGAGAUUCGAUCGUCAGUAUCCGCAUACCUAUUUCAAUCUCGUUUANCCGGCAAGUCUCUUUACUCAUUCCGUAAUACAAGAUCCCGCAACUUACACUAAGUCACAUUGCUUGCAAGGCUUGUGUGUGAUGUUGUAUUACCGAGUGGGCCCCGAGAUGCCUCUCCGUCACACGGAGUGACAAAUUCCAGUCUCGAUCCAUACUAACUCAACGAACACCUUCGAAGAUACCUGUAGAGCAUCUUUAUAGUCACCCAGUUACGUUGCGACGUUUGAUACACACAAAGCAUUCCUCNNNNNNNNNNNNNNNNNNNNNNNNNNNNNNNNNNNNNNNNNNNNNNNNNNNNNNNNNNNNNNNNNNNNNNNNNNNNNNNNNNNNNNNNNNNNNNNNNNNNACGGUGCCCUAUUUAAAGUGAAUGCUGCAGUUUCUAAUGCGUAUCCCCAAAAUGAUAGCGGUAAGUCGGUAAGAGACAUCAUAGAUCGUACCAUAUCUAAUAAAGUGCGAUUAUGACAUUCACACACCCCAUUACGUUGCGGUGUGCCAAGCGGCGUCAGUUGUGAAACGAUUCCACACUUCCUUAGGUGUGUGCCAAACUCGUGACUCAAAUAUUCUCCUCCACAAUCAGAUCGUAGACAUUUAAUUUUUUCUGUCACGUUGAUUCUCAACCUCACUCUGAAAUUCCUUGAACUUUUCAAACGUCUCAGAUUUGUGCUUCAUCAAGUAGAUAUACCCAUACCUACUCAAAUCAUCGGUGAGAGUGAGAACAUAACGAUAACCACCGCGAGCUUCAACGUUCAUUGGACCACACACAUCAGUAUGUAUUAUUUCCAAUAAGUCGGUUGCUCUCUCCAUUAUUCCUGAGAAUGGAGUCUUAGUCAUCUUGCCCAUGAGGCACAGUUCGCAUGUGUAAAAUGAUUCAAAGUCAAGAGACUCUAAUAGUCCAUCAAUAUGGAGCUUCUUCAUGCGCUUAACGCCGAUAUGACCAAGGCGGCAGUGCCACAAGUAUGUGGGACUGUCAUUAUCAACUUUACAUCUUUUGGUACUCACACUAUGAAUAUGUGUAACAUCACGAUCGAGAUUCAUCAAGAAUAAACCAUUCANNNNNNNNNNNNNNNNNNNNNNNNNNNNNNNNNNNNNNNNNNNNNNNNNNNNNNNNNNNNNNNNNNNNNNNNNNNNNNNNNNNNNNNNNNNNNNNNNNNNAGGUUGACUCGACGAGCUUAGCAUGUACAGACAUGACCUCGAAUACAAGAGACCGAAAGGUCGAACAUGAGUCGUAUGGUUGAAUACGAUCAGCAUGAAGUUGCUCACCAUGGUGACUAGUCCGUCUCACGUGAUGAUCGGACACGGGUUAGUCAACAUGGAUCAUGUAUCACUUAGAUGACUAGAGGGAUGUCGAUUUAAGUGGGAGUUCAUACUUAAUUUGAUUAAAUGAAAUUAAUUGUCAUGAACUUAGUCUAAAAGUUGUCUUUAUAAAUAUUGUAGAUGUCCAACGUCAACCUCAAUUUCAACGCAUUCCUAGAGAAAAACAAGCUGAAAGAUGAUGGUAGCAACUAUGCGGACUGGGUUUGCAACUUGAAGCUCAUCCUCGAAGCAGCUAAAAAGGCUUAUGUCCUUAAUGCGCCGCUAGGUGACCCUCCCGCUCCCGCAGCAGCCCAGGACAUUCUGAACGUCUGGCAAACGCGGAGUGAUGACUACUCUCUGGUCAGGUGUGGCAUGUUAUACAGUUUAGAAACGGGGCUCCAAAGGCGUUUUGAGCAACAUGGGGCAUAUGAGAUGUUCCAGGAGCUACAGCUAGUUUUUCAAGCUCAUGCCCGUGUCGAGAGAUAUGAAGUCUCCGACAAGUUCUUCAGCUGUAAGAUGGAGGAGAACAGUUCUGUCAGUGAGCACAUACUCAAAAUGUCUGGGUUACACGGUCGUCUGACUUCACUUGGAGUCGAACUUCCGGAUGAUGCUAUUAUUGACAGAAUCCUCCAGUCUCUCCCACCAAGCUACAAAGGCUUUGUGCUUAACUACAAUAUGCAAGGGAUGGAGAAGACCAUUCCCGAGUUGUACUCGCUGCUCAACUCUGCAGAAGUAGAAAUCAAGAAAGAGCAUCAAGUCUUGAUGGUCAACAAGACCACUAGUUUCAAGAAAGGCAAGGGUAAGAAGAACUUCAAGAAAGACGGCCAAGCUGUUGCCGCGCCCGGUAAGCCAGAUGCCGGGAAGAAGAAAAAGAACGGACCCAAGCCUGAGACUGAGUGCUUCUAUUGCAAGGGAAAGGGUCACUNNNNNNNNNNNNNNNNNNNNNNNNNNNNNNNNNNNNNNNNNNNNNNNNNNNNNNNNNNNNNNNNNNNNNNNNNNNNNNNNNNNNNNNNNNNNNNNNNNNNUCUCUCCUACUCUAGUCGGAUUGGAUUUGAUGAAAAGGGUCCUUAUGAAGGGUAAAUAGCUUUGGCAUAUAAUCGUUGUGGCUGUCACGUAGGUAAGAAGGCGUUCUUGCUAGAAACCCAAAUCAGCCACGUAAAACUUGCAACAACAAUUAGAGGACGUCUAACUUGUUUUUGCAGGGUUUGACAUGUGAUGUGAUAUGGCCAAAGUUGUGAUGUUGCAUGUAUAAUGUAUGAGAUGAUCAUGUUAUUGUAAUAGGUUUCACGACUUGCAUGUCGAUGAGUAUGACAACCGGCAGGAGCCAUAGGAGUUGUCUUAAUUUAUUGUAUGAGAUGCAACGCCAUGUGCUUACUACUUUUACUUCAUUGCUAACAGUUAGCUAUAGUAGUAGUGAUAGUAGUAGUUGGCGUGACGACAUCACAGAGACACGAUGAUGGAGAUCAUGAUGAUGGAGAUCAUGGUGUCACGCUGGUGACGAUGAUGAUCAUGCGAUGCCUGAAGAUGGAGAUCGAAAGAGCAAAGAUGAUAAUGGCCAUAUCAUGUCACUAUAUGAUUGCAUUGUGAUGUUUAUCAUGUUUUACAUCUUAUUGCUUAAAACGACGGUAGCAUAAUAAGAUGAUCCCUCUUAAAAUUUCAAGAACGUAUUCCCCUAAGUGUGCACCGUUGCGAAGGUUCAUUGUCUCGAAGCACCACGUGAUGAUCGGGUGUGAUAGAUUCUAACAUUCGCAUACAACCGGUGUAAGCCAGAUUUACACACGCGAAACACCUAGGUUGACUCGACGAGCUUAGCAUGUACAGACAUGACCUCGAAUACAAGAGACCGAAAGGUCGAACAUGACUCGUAUGGUUGAAUACGAUCAGCAUGCAGUUGCUCACCAUGGUGACUAGUCCGUCUCACGUGAUGAUCGGACACGGGUUAGUCAACAUGGAUCAUGUAUCACUUAGAUGACUAGAGGGAUGUCGAUUUAAGUGGGAGUUCAUACUUAAUUUGAUUAAAUGAAAUUAAUUGUCAUGAACUUAGUCUAAAAGUUGUCUUUAUAAAUAUUGUAGAUGUCCAACGUCAACCUCAAUUUCAACGCAUUCCUAGAGAAAAACAAGCUGAAAGAUGAUGGUAGCAACUAUGCGGACUGGGUUNNNNNNNNNNNNNNNNNNNNNNNNNNNNNNNNNNNNNNNNNNNNNNNNNNNNNNNNNNNNNNNNNNNNNNNNNNNNNNNNNNNNNNNNNNNNNNNNNNNNAAUACCCAGGAGCUACUACGAGCGCUGGUAAGGUACACAUCAAUAACAUGUAUAUCACAUAUACCUUUAACGUUGCCGGCCUUCUUGUCCGCUAAGUAUUUGGGGCAGUUCCGCUUCCAGUGACCCUUUCCCUUGCAAUAGAAGCACUCAGUCUCAGGCUUGGGUCCGUUCUUUUUCUUCUUCCCGGCAUCUGGCUUACCGGGCGCGGCAACAGCUUGGCCGUCUUUCUUGAAGUUCUUCUUACCCUUGCCUUUCUUGAAACUAGUGGUCUUGUUGACCAUCAAAACUUGAUGCUCUUUCUUGAUUUCUACUUCUGCAGAAUUGAGCACCGAGUACAACUCGGGAAUGGUCUUCUCCAUCCCUUGCAUGUUGUAGUUAAGCACAAAGCCUUUGUAGCUUGGUGGGAGAGACUGGAGGAUUCUGUCAAUUAUAGCAUCAUCCGGAAGUUCGACUCCAAGUGAAGUCAGACGACCGUGUAACCCAGACAUUUUGAGUAUGUGCUCACUGACAGAACUGUUCUCUUCCAUCUUACAGCUAAAGAACUUGUCGGAGACUUCAUAUCUCUCGGCACGGGCAUGAGCUUGAAAAACUAGCUUCAUCUCCUGGAACAUCUCAUAUGCCUCAUGUUGCUCAAAACGCCUUUGGAGCCCCGUUUCUAAACUGUAUAACAUGCUACACCUAACCAGAGAGUAGUCAUCACUCCGCGUUUUCCAGACGUUCAGAAUGUCCUGGGCUGCUGCGGGAGCGGGAGGGUCACCUAGCGGCGCAUCAAGGACAUAAGCCUUUUUAGCUGCUUCAAGGACGAGCUUCAAGUUGCGAACCCAGUCCGCAUAGUUGCUACCAUCAUCUUUCAGCUUGUUUUUCUCUAGGAAUGCGUUGAAAUUGAGGUUGACGUUGGACAUCUACAAUAUUUAUAAAGACAACUUUUAGACUAAGUUCAUGACAAUUAAGUUCAUUUAAUCAAAUUAAAUAUGAACUCCCACUUAAAUCGACAUCCCUCUAGUCAUCUAAGUGAUACAUGAUCCAUGUUGACUAACCCGUGUCCGAUCAUCACGUGAGACGGACUAGUCACCAUGGUGAGCAACUCCAUGCUGAUCGUAUUCAACCAUACGAAUCAUGUUCGACCUUUCGGUCUCUUGUAUUCGAGGUCAUGUCUGUACAUGCUAAGCUCGUCGAGUCAACCUNNNNNNNNNNNNNNNNNNNNNNNNNNNNNNNNNNNNNNNNNNNNNNNNNNNNNNNNNNNNNNNNNNNNNNNNNNNNNNNNNNNNNNNNNNNNNNNNNNNNGCGGAGACUGGCCAAGGACGAGGUGACGAUGCGCGUCGGGAAUGGUUCAAAGGUCGAUGUGAUCGCCGUCAGCACGCUGCCUCUACAUCUACCGUCGGGAUUAGUUUUAAACCUUAAUAAUUGUUAUUUAGUACCAGCUUUAAGCAUGAACAUUGUAUCAGGGUCUUGCUUAAUGCGAGACGGCUACUCAUUUAAGUCAGAGAAUAAUGGUUGUUCUAUUUAUAUGAGUGAUAUGUUUUAUGGUCAUGCUCCGCUGGUGAAUGGUUUAUUCUUGAUGAAUCUCGAUCGUGAUGUUACACAUAUUCAUAGUGUGAGUACCAAAAGAUGCAAAGUUGAUAAUGAUACUCCCACAUACUUGUGGCACUGCCGCCUUGGUCAUAUCGGCGUUAAGCGCAUGAAGAAGCUCCAUACUGAUGGACUAUUAGAGUCUCUUGACUUUGAAUCAUUUGACACAUGCGAACCGUGCCUCAUGGGCAAGAUGACUAAGACUCCAUUCUCAGGAAUAAUGGAGAGAGCAACCGACUUAUUGGAAAUAAUACAUAUUGAUGUGUGUGGUCCAAUGAACGUUGAAGCUCGCGGUGGUUAUCGUUAUGUUCUCACUCUCACCGAUGAUUUGAGUAGGUAUGGGUAUAUCUACUUGAUGAAGCACAAAUCUGAGACGUUUGAAAAGUUCAAGGAAUUUCAGAGUGAGGUUGAGAAUCAACGUGACAGAAAAAUUAAAUGUCUACGAUCUGAUCGUGGAGGAGAAUAUUUGAGUCACGAGUUUGGCACACACCUAAGGAAGUGUGGAAUCGUUUCACAACUGACGCCGCCUGGCACACCGCAGCGCAACGGAGUGUCUGAACGUCGUAAUCGCACUUUAUUAGAUAUGGUACGAUCUAUGAUGUCUCUCACCGACUUACCGCUAUCAUUUUGGGGAUACGCAUUAGAAACUGCAGCAUUCACUUUAAAUAGGGCACCGUCUAAAUCCGUUGAGACGACACCGUAUGAACUAUGGUUUGGCAAGAAACCUAAGUUGUCGUUUCUUAAAGUUUGGGGCUGCGAUGCUUAUGUGAAGAAACUUCAACUAGAAAAGCUCCAACCCAAAGAGGAGAAAUGCGUAUUCAUAGGAUACCCUAAGGAAACUAUUGGGUAUACCUUCUAUCUUAGAUCCGAAGGUAAAACCUUUGUUGCCAAGAACGGAUCCUUUCUAGAGAAAGAGUUUCUCUCGAAAGAAGUAAGUGGGAGGAAGGUAAAACUUGAUGAGGUAAUUGCACCCCCUCUCGAACAGGAAAGUAGCGCAGCGCGGGAAGUUGUUCCUGUGGCGCCUAUACCGAAUGAAGAGGAAGUUAAUGAUGAUGAUCAUGAAGCUUCGGAUCAAGUUACUACUGAACCGCGAAGGUCCACAAGGGCACGCUCCGCACCAGAGUGGUACGGCAACCCUGUGAUGGAAAUCAUGUUGUUAGACAAUGGUGAGCCUUCGAACUAUGAAGAAGCAAUGGCGGGCCCGGAUUCCAACAAAUGGCUUGAGGCUAUGAAAUCCGAGAUAGGAUCCAUGUAUGAGAACAAAGUAUGGACUUUGGUGGACUUGCCCGAUGACCGGCGAGCCAUAGAAAAUAAAUGGAUCUUCAAGAAGAAGACUGAUGCAAACGGUAAUGUAACCGUUUACAAAGCUCGACUUGUCGCAAAGGGUUUUCGACAAAUUCAAGGAGUUGACUACGAAGAGGCUUUCUCUCCCGUAGCGAAGCUGAAAUCAGUUCGAAUCAUGUUAGCAAUUGCCGCCUUUUAUGAUUAUGAAAUUUGGGAAAUGGACGUCAAAACAGCGUUCCUUAACGGGAACCUUAAGGAAGAGUUGUAUAUGAUGCAACCAGAAGGUUUUGUCGACCCUAAGGGUGCUAACAAAGUGUGCAAGCUCCAGCGCUCCAUCUAUGGGCUGGUGCAAGCAUCUCGGAGUUGGAACAUUCGCUUUAAUGAGGUAAUUAAAGCGUUUGGGUUCAUACAGGUUUACGGAGAAACCUGUCUGUACAAGAAAGUGAGUGGGAGCUCUGUAGCUUUCCUCAUACUAUAUGUGGAUGACAUAUUAUUGAUGGGGAAUAAUAUAGAGAUGUUGGAGAGCAUAAAGGCCUAUUUGAACAAGAGUUUUUCAAUGAAGGACCUUGGAGAAGCUGCAUACAUAUUAGGCAUCAAGAUCUAUAGAGAUAGAUCGAGACGCCUCAUAGGUCUUUCGUAAAGUACAUACCUUGACAAGAUAUUGAAGAAGUUCAAUAUGGAAAACUCAAAGAAAGGGUCAUUGCCAGUUUUGCAAGGUAUGAGAUUGAGUAAGACUCAGUCGCCGACCACGGCAGUAGAUAGAGAGAAGAUGAGUUAUGUCCCCUACGCUUCAGCCGUGGGCUCUCUAAUGUAUGCCAUGUUGUGUACCAGACCUGAUAUAAACCUUGCCAUAAGUUUGGUAGGGAGGUACCAAAGUAAUCCCGGUACGGAACACUCGACAGCGGUCAAGAAUAUCCUUAAGUACCUGAAAAGGACUAAGGAAAUAUUUCUCGUUUAUGGAGGUGACGAAGAGCUCGUCGUAAAGGGUUACGUCGACGCUAGCUUCGACAUAGAUCCGGAUGACUCUAAGUCACAGACCGGAUACGUAUAUGUGUUGAAUGGUGGGGCAGUGAGCUGGUGCAACAGCAAGCAAGAAGUCGUGGCAGCAUCUACAUGUGAAGCGGAGUACAUAGCUGCUUCAGAAGCGGCUCAUGAAGGAAUUUGGAUGAAGGAGCUCAUCACUGACCUUGGAGUGGUUCCAAGCGCGUCGGGUCCCAUGACACUCUUCUGUGAUAACACUGGAGCCAUUGCCAUAGCCAAGGAGCCCAGGUUUCACUGAAAGACGAAGCACAUCAAGCGCCGCUACAACUCCAUCCAGGACCAUGUCCAGAGUGGAGUGAUAGAUAUUUGUAAAGUACACACGGAUCUGAAUAUUGCAGACCCGUUGACUAAACCUCUUCCACGAGCAAAACAUGAUCAACACCAUAAUGCUAUGGGUGUUCGAUACAUCACAAUGUAACUAGAUUAUUGACUCUAGUGCAAGUGGGAGACUGUUGGAAAUAUGCCCUAGAGGCAAUAAUAAAAUGGUUAUUAUCAUAUUUCCUCGUUCAUGAUAAUCGUCUAUUGUUCAUGCUAUAAUUGUAUUAACAGGAAACAGUAAUACAUGUGUGAAUAAAUAGAUCACAAUGUGUCCCUAGGAAGCCUCUAGUUGGCUAGCUCGUUAGUCAAUAGAUGAUCAUGGUUUCCUGAUCAUGGGCAUUAGAUGUCAUUGAUAACGGGAUCACAUCAGUGGGAGAAUGAUGUGAUGGACAAGACCCAAUCCUAAGCCUAGCACUAGAUCGUAUUGUUCGUAUGCUAAUGCUUUUCUAAUGUCAAGUAUCUUUUCCUUCGACCGUGAGAUUGUGCAACUCCCAGAUGCCGUAGGAGUGCUUUGGGUGUAUCAAACGUCACAACGUAACUGGGUGACUAUAAAGGUGCACUACGGGUAGGGGGGGGGGGGGGGGUUGGGUUGGUACGAAUCGAGAUCGGGAUUUGUCACUCCGUGUGACGGAGAGGUAUCUCUGGGCCCACUCGGUAGAACAUCAUCAUGAGCUCAAUGUGACUAAGGAGUUAGUCACACGAUGAUGUGCUACGGAACGAGUAAAGAGACUUACCGGUAACGAGAUUGAACAAGGUAUAGGUAUACCGACGAUCGAAUCUCGGGCAAGUUCUAUACCGACAGACANNNNNNNNNNNNNNNNNNNNNNNNNNNNNNNNNNNNNNNNNNNNNNNNNNNNNNNNNNNNNNNNNNNNNNNNNNNNNNNNNNNNNNNNNNNNNNNNNNNNGGGGGGGGGGGAGGGUGUUAGAUUUGUAUUGCCCCUUUUUUGUAUAUCCCCAUUAUAUAAGGGGUUUCUACCACUUUUACCAUAUGUAUAUAUAUUGGCCUUUGGCCCCUGUGAAUAUUUGCUCAUUAUCUAACAGAUCCAACACAAGGUUGGGUCGAAGCUAGUUUAUAUCUGGGACGUUACACCAACCUCUCAAGCCAAUCCAACAUUGCAGACAGAUUUAUGAUACACUUCCUUUUCACGAGCCCGAGGCAAUGUACCUAUGUCAAAAAAAGUAGGAGUUCGAGGCAAUGUACCUAAUACAAACUGUGAAGCCUUCCCACCUAGGCUAUACAUGAGGUCCUUGAGAUGCUCUAUAAGAUAUCGGUUAAAAGAGAAAACGUCCAAAAUAAGAGAAAUAUAACUAUAUUUUUUUUGUAUUUGUCGCUUCAAAGGAUCAGUAUGUUGGACAAGAAGAGAAGCACUGAAGUAGCAUCACUCAUCAUCAAGGUCAAAAUCGUUGUCCGAUGCGCACUCGAGAUAUGAACCAAUCGACUUGCGGAAGAUGAUGAAAGACUUGUCAUCCUGUGAAAAAAGAAUGCAUUAUUUUGCAGGAAGAGGUGUUUCAAGCCAUGGAACAAAAAAAACUGGCUGGUCAUUCAGCUUUAGGCCUGACGGGUAGCUAAAAAUGAAGUCUAAGAAAUGCAAGCAGUUGUGAAUUUUGCCACACCUGCUUCAUCCUUUUCAGUGAUGGUUUGGCAUUUGUUAUCUUAUCUGAUAAGGUGUCACCAUGUUCUGACAAUGUAGCCGUCUCCUCCCCUGUUUGAAGGAUUUGAGUGUAAGAGCAGCAUAUUUCCAUCCAAGGGAAAUAAUGAAUCCUCUAGCUACUUACUUUGAUAUUCAUACUGCUCAAGCAGUUUCUUUUUCUCAACUUCAAUUUGUGAGGAUAGAUCUGCAUAAUAGGACAUGUAACAAGUCAAAUAAGAGCCAAAUAUUUUUGCAGAUUCAAUGAGAUCUGAACGUCUUUUAUGGGAACAUCAUCCAAAUAAUGCUGAGUCGCUAAUAAGCAGUAGCCAAGCAAUGCAUAUUUAGAAACAACACACAUAAUUUGAAUACAAGUGUCAUGUAGAUUCUAUUUGCAUCAAAACCAGGUAUCUCAAUAUUUUUUCUAAAGAUAAGAAUCACAGCUCAUACGUAGUAGCCGAUUACACCAAAUGAGAAACAACCAUCACACGUCACAAUGCCCUAAAAUCCUAGAUAGACCUGGAUAGAAGCACAUGAUAUACUUGUGAAAAUGACAACCAGCUCUUAUUUGACAUACCUUUGAAGGUUUGUAAGUGUGCAUCAUUUUCUUCGCAGAACAUUUCAUAUGUUUCCUGAAGCUUGGUGUACUCUUCGUUCAAUGAACUUUCACACUGCUAAUAGUGCAAAUUACACGCCAUAAUUCAAUCUUAGGCAAAUCAGCAAGUAAGUCGACAAUUCCAAAGAAUUGUAAACUGUGUACCUCUUUCGAAGUGCUUGACAGUACUUUCAGCAAAUUCUGCCUGCACAUGCAAAUAUAACAGUGACACUACGUUCUAAAUAAAAACGAACAAGCUUCCUUUUCUGACAGAACUGGUUUCAGGCGUAAUUGUUCAUGCAGGCAUCGUUUCACAGUUCACAAGCAAGUGAGUUACCUUUCCUUCUCAAACUUGGACUUGGUAUCUUCAAGCAUAGUCUGAAUAUUGGCUGCAACACUGUCAGGUUUAGAAAAGUAAAGGAAUAAACAGGGUAAGAAGAAGGUAAAAGAAUAAUGAUCAGCAACAUUAUGCGCUUCAAACUUCACAGUUCAGUCAGCGGAGUCCCUGUUAGUCCACAUGUUAUAAUUUUCGGCUUCUUUUCCUCCCCGAUGCCUGUGUAAAUAAUUCUUUGUAAUAGUUCUGAGAAGUUUAUAGAAAUGUUCAGGCUGGCUUUGCCGGCCGUAGUUCUGAAAAUCAACUCACCCGAACAAAGCCACACCAUGACAUAAGUACAAAACAUGAAUCCGGGAACCCAUCAAAUUAAUAUGUCCAUUUUCCUCGCAUCACUCACAAUGCAUAUCGCUCCGCAUAAUAUACAAAAACUGACAUAUCACCGAACGAACCUAGUUCCUGCAUUAAUCACAGAAACAGCCGAGUGGACGCAUUGCAGGAUUGCAAACGUGCAACAUUUAUUUGUAUCCCUCCCAGUGACCAUGAACUGUAAGUUUUCCACACAAAUCCGCCAGCACGAAAUGCAUCAUAAGAAGCUGCUAGGAUAGCAUACGCCGAUCCCAAUUUUUUUGCACGCUAGCACAUAGCGAGAUAAGAGAAAAUUUAGAGGUGCAAGUGCAACCGAAAGAACACUGUUCUCCGCACCUGGCGAUGAUCUGCUCGCACAUCUUCUGGCCAGCCUUGUUGGUCCCGCCCUUGAUCAACCGCAGCAGGCACGCGAUCUGCCUCAAGUCGCUGCGCCCGCCACAAAAGUAGCCAUCACGGAGUUAAAGCGAGAAGGAAUUAGAAACGGGAGACACCGAAUCGAAGAGGAAAAGCUCGAAAUCAGAUGUGCGGCACCUGACGAAAUCGCCGUCAGAUUCCGAGCCGGAGCUGGAGCCGGAAUCGGAACCGGAGCCGAAAUCCACGGGGUGGCGCGGCCUCUUCGACGACCGCAGAGCCUCUUCACCCAGGGACAUCCUCCUUCCGCCGCCGGGACUCGCCGCGGGCCGCAUCGCUGGUCGACGAGCGUAGUGCAGCGCAAUUCGAAAUUUGGAGGGGGAGCGAGAGGGUAGUGAUGUAAUACUGGCAAAAUUUUGGUGGCCCACUCACAGUAUUGGCUUUUGUAAGGGAAAGUGUUCGUGCGCGCAAGGCUACGAGCAACUAGUUCCUCCUCUUGUAAUUUUUUUUUCCUUCGACGCGUCCGUUGAAGUGUUCGGCCGGUCGCGUUCCUUCCUCACGUUUUUCUUCCACCUUUUCCUUUUCCCCUCCCGCGCACACUCGGAUUUUUUCACUGUUUUAACCUUUUUUCUAAANNNNNNCACAAAAUGAACCAGAUUUGAAACCAUUUCACGAUCUGACCCUUUUAAAAACGCCACAAGCCGUGGCGUUGCUNNNNNNNNNNNNNNNNNNNNNNNNNNNNNNNNNNNNNNNNNNNNNNNNNNNNNNNNNNNNNNNNNNNNNNNNNNNNNNNNNNNNNNNNNNNNNNNNNNNNUGGACAAGAAUACAUGGAGUUACUCAAGCCAUUGAAUCAUUUGACUUUGUUUUCAAUCUUCACUUGAUGCUUGUUAUUCUUGGCUAUACAAAUGAGUUGUCCAAAUCUUUGCAAAAGAGAGAUCAAGAUACUAUUAAUGCAGUGGCACUUGUUAGUUUGGCAAAGAGUAGAAUGCGACACAUGAGGUGUCAUGGUUAGGAAGAAUUUCUUGCAAAGCUAACCCUAUUUUGCCAGAAACAUGACAUUCAAGUUCCUUUGUGGGAGGAUACUUAUGCAGGGGCAGAAUUAGCAUGGGUUCACGUCUAGGGCCAAAUUAGCUUCAGUGGUGUAUUUUAGAGAUUUUUUGUACUUAGUAAGUAGGUAUUACAAAGACUAUUGUCACUACACCUAGGGCUAUAGCCCCAUUUUCCCUAGGCCUGAUUCCAACAUUGUACUUAUGAGCAUCAUGGAAUAUCACGUUGGUAUAAUGAAGUUCAAACAAAUGAUGAUCGUUAUAAAAGAGAAGUAUAUCUUGGUGUCAUUGAUCAAACCAUUCUAUCCCAUGGACAUAUCAAGCACGGAUUUGAUAAGGCUAGAAUUUCAACUUGCUACUUUUAUUGAUGAUACGAGACAAGAUGAUAUUGGUGAGCUCUCUAUUUUACUUGUUGCAACAAAGAAUCAUAUUCUCUAUGAUUUGGUCUACUUACUCAUCAAAUUGAUAUUGAUUUUACCGAUGGCAACAACGAGUGUUGAAAGGGUAUUUUCUGCAAUGAAUCUAGUGAAAAAUAAAUUAAGGACUAGUAUGGGUGAUGAUCGUUUGGUGACAAUUAUUAAGCGAGAUGUGUUCAUGAAAGUAAAUGAAGAUGACAUAGUUGAUGCUUUCAUGACAAUGCAACGACGUAGAGUUACCUAGUGUUGUAAUUUUCUACUUCUGUUACUUUCAUGUAAGUCUUUUCUAUUGUAACUGGGCACAUUUGAAAUACAUUUUAUGUACUAAAUGGUUGUGAGAUUUCAAUUGAGCUAUUUAUGUUACUCAUUUGACAUAUUUUGAUACAUUUGGAUUAGGUAGGAAAAAAAUAGAGUGCGCAUGCCCUUUAUUUUAUUCCUGGGUACCCACACAAUGGAACGCAAAAAUAUCCAGCCGAGCGAGCAGUAAAUCCACCAUACGGGAUGUGCAUACUUAAUACUCCUACAUUGCAACAAAUAAUCGUGAAAAAAAAUGGAAAAAGAAACCAUAUGCGAUCAGGCACAUGACGAAGGAAGGGUCACAUGAAUGAAGAAGAGAGAAAAGCCACAUAUCGACCCGAAUAGCGAAGUGUGGGAGCCGCGAUGGCGGGCACUGGCAGCCAUACAUUGGGCUAUCCAAAAUCUCAUCUCUCGCCCAAUCCCGGCCUCACGAUCUCAAUUCUCACCCCGCGUGCACCACAAGCUCCAAUCCCCUAACUCGUAUAUACAGCCACGCCCGCCUCACCGUCCUUGAUCUUCCCCCCUAUCUGAUCGGAUCCUUUGGACAUGGCGUCGCCCAUGCUCUCCACGGCCAUGGCGCCACUCCAGGUAUUGCUCGUGUUCCAUUUCCAUUCCAUGCUUGCGUAGUAGUACAGUUCUUCCAUGUUUGUGACGCGCGGUGGUUAUGUAACUGGACUGCCAUGCAUCCUCUGUCGAUCCAGGGGGGCAUGCUGGAGUUCUCCGGGCUGAGGAGCUCGUCGUCGCUGCCGCUCCGGCGGAAUGCCACCUCCGACGACUUCAUGUCCGCCGUCUCCUUCAGGACAUACGCGGUAUGAUAUGAAUAUGAUGGGCGGAAUGUGGCUGUCACCUAGGAGUACGUAGCUCGCUUGGUCGCAUGCCAUGAGACAUGAGCGGCGCGUGGUACGGUGGUUGCAGGUGAGCACGAGCGGCGGGUCGCGGAAGGCGCCGACGGAGGCGAAGCUCAAGGUGGCGAUCAACGGGUUCGGGCGCAUCGGGCGCAACUUCCUGCGGUGCUGGCACGGGCGCGGCGACAGCUCGCCGCUGGAGGUGAUCGCCAUCAACGACACCGGAGGCGUGAAGCAGGCGUCCCACCUCCUCAAGUACGACUCCACGCUGGGCAUCUUCGACGCGGACGUCAAGCCCGUGGGCGACAACGCCAUCUCCGUCGACGGCAAGGUGAUCAAGGUCGUGUCCGACCGCAACCCCUCCAACCUGCCGUGGGGCGAGAUGGGCAUCGACCUCGUCAUCGAGGGCACCGGCGUCUUCGUCGACCGCGCCGGCGCGGGCAAGCAUCUCGAGGCCGGAGCCAAGAAGGUGCUCAUCACCGCGCCCGGCAAGGGCGACAUCCCCACCUACGUCUGCGGCGUCAACGCCGACCUCUACACCCACGCCGACACCAUCAUCAGCAACGCCUCAUGCACCACCAACUGCCUCGCCCCCUUCGUCAAGGUCCUCGACCAAAAGUUCGGUACGUGCCCGUCUCCCUCCCUCUCUCUCUCUCUCAACUGAAUCAACUUGUUGACGAUGACUAAUGGCGGCGGUGGCAAUGGCGCAGGCAUCAUCAAGGGAACCAUGACCACAACCCACUCGUACACCGGCGACCAGAGGCUGCUCGACGCGAGCCACCGCGACCUGCGCCGUGCCCGCGCCGCCGCCCUCAACAUAGUGCCGACCUCCACCGGCGCGGCCAAGGCCGUGGCGCUGGUGCUCCCCAACCUCAAGGGCAAGCUCAACGGGAUCGCGCUCCGGGUGCCCACCCCCAACGUGUCCGUCGUCGACCUCGUGGUGCAGGUCUCCAAGAAGACCCUCGCCGAGGAGGUGAACCAGGCGUUCCGCGACGCCGCCGCCAACGAGCUCAAGGGCAUCCUCGACGUCUGCGACGAGCCCCUCGUGUCCGUCGACUUCAGGUGCUCCGACGUCUCCUCCACCAUCGACGCGUCGCUCAGCAUGGUCAUGGGAGACGACAUGGUCAAGGUCAUUGCAUGGUACGACAACGAGUGGGGUUACUCCCAGAGGGUCGUCGACCUCGCCGACAUCGUCGCCAACCAAUGGAAGUGAACGCCCCCCCACAGCGGCAUUGCCCUGUCAAGUGACUCCUCUCGAAAUUUUCCCCAGCCGUCGUCACGGAUGAUCGAUUCUUUGUAAUGAGAAUUCAAAGUAUCGAGCUCCCAACAC
rnacentral:lncRNA from 1 species